AUCGAAGACUUCAGCUUCUUCAUAAGUUCCCACACGAAUUGCUUGAUUCACUUGCGAAAAGCGAUUGGGUUGAGACCCGAGAGUGACGAUUGGGUCUGUAGCUCAGUUGGUUAGAGCGCACCCCUGAUAAGGGUGAGGUCGGCAGUUCGAAUCUGCCCAGACCCACCAAUUGUCGGGAUGGCCAGUGUCAAAUGGGGCCAUAGCUCAGCUGGGAGAGCGCCUGCUUUGCACGCAGGAGGUCAGGAGUUCGAUCCUCCUUGGCUCCACCAUCAACUCACGAUCGCUGAAAGCUCAGAAAUGAACAUUGGUAGUUCAAUGUUGAUUUCUGGUCUUUGCGCCAGAACUGUUCUUUAAAAAUUUGGGUAUGUGAUAGAAGUGACUAACAGCGUGUUUCACUGCACGUUGUUAAUCAAGGCAAAAUUUGCGAGUUCAAGCGCGAAUUUUCGGCGAAUGUCGUCUUCACGUUACGAAUCUAUAACCAGAUUGCUUGGGGUUAUAU
rnacentral:tRNA from 1 species